CAGGGACCUUACAUCCUCCAUUCCAUUAUUCCAAUGUAGUUUUUGUUCCUGAUAAUUUGCCUUGAAUGAGCAUAUUCACUAGGAAGGCCAGCUAAAAUUAAUGUUUUGACAUCCUGAUUUGACACGCUAACACCAACAGGAGCCAAUUACCGAUGUAAGAGCCUCAGUUGAGAGAGUGUUGGUAAUCAUGAAUAUAAAAAAGAUAUCUUGCUCCAGCCAUUUUUCAUGAACAUCUGAAUUAUCAGUGAGAGAUCCAUCAGCACCAACAAGAAAAUGUAGUGGACAUGGGUGAGAUCCAUCGACAAAUGUCCACGGAGAUAAUGCUGCAUCUGGAAAACCCAGAUAGAGACUGCAUUGCAGGUUUGAUUUGAGAUUGCCAUUACCCAUUAGAAUCUUGAAGAUGAGGUCUGGAUCUUGAGGAUGAACAGUUGCAAGGAUGAAUAAUCUCCGAUCUUGAAAGAAUUUCCCUAUACCAGAAAUUUUUAGGUGCUACCGUCAAACCAGCUGGCAAUCCCAGCUGGUCUCACUCCCCAGUAAUAUUUUGACACGUGGACUCAAUAAAUAUUUAAUUAACUUCUAA